CUCUGAUGCCCUAAGAUGCUGUUACAGUAGACAGCUCACAGAGAAACGCAGUGUUUAUUUUAUUAAGCUGGCAACAGAAGCUUUCUGGAGAUACGAGGACGCACUGUGCUAUAUAAUCAUAUAAACAUGAGCUGUUUGGAUUUUGAUUCUGACGGCACCCAUUCACUUCAGAGGAUCCAUUGGUGAGCAAGUGAUGUAUUCUUUUCUGAUGGAGAAACAACCUCCUCUACAUCUUAGAUGUACUGAGCUACCGUGUGGCUUCAGAAGACGUGGAAAAUGGUGCAUGAAUCAUAAGGUACUUUUCUCAUUUUUUGGAGCUUGAAAGCCUCUGGUUCUCAUUGACUUUCACUGUAUGGAUGAGAGCAGCUCAUACAUUCUGGUAAACUUCUGCUCUGGCAUUUGACAGAAGAAAAAUGCAUUAAUUAACUGCAGGAUCUCUUUACACUUAUGUUGCAGAAUCAUGAUUAUAUUCAUGCUGUUUUACAAUCACCUUCACAUUACUACAAAGAAUAACUGAUAUGCUUGGCAGUAUAUAAAGAGCUUAUUAAGGAGUACAGGUCUCAUUCAGAAAAGCUUCUGUUCUUCAUUUAAGAAAAAGAGCUGUUGAAUAAAGGGGGUGAAAUUUGUGCUCUUGAACUUCCCUUCUUUAAUUGUUCUAAUAAAUACUUGGAAAACAAAAGUACAGUGUUUUCAAAUAGGGAUUGUUCCAAUAUACUGUACAUAUAAAGUGGCAUUAAGAACAAAAUGUGUUAGCAUAAUGCAUUUUUUUGUAUAAAAUACCAUUGACAAAAUACAUAUGCAUCUGUAUGCACUCUCAUAUAUGAACAGUCCGUAACUUGACUGAUUUACAGCAGGUAUCACAACUACAUUAACUGAUUUAUAAGUGUUUACAAUCCACUAAAAAGAACCAACUCAUAGGAGUCAUUCGUUCAGGAAUCAGACUUCACUGUUUGCGCUGCACGUUUUGAUUCACUAAAAAGAACUUACUGAUACGCUCAGGAAACGGACUUACAGUAACUGUUCAUGCAUAGGGCCUCACUAGACCCUUUACUGAAAUAGAGAAAUAUUCUUAAUCUUAUUAUGGAGAUUACUGUAUACCAAACUGAUCAUUUUCCCUGAUGAUACUGCAGCAAUCAUGGCAUGCCUGUUUUCUAUCAGCUGUUUAGAUUCAGAACUUGUGAUUGGAAAAGUGUUUACAAAAAGGUUUGAAAUGCUUUGCAAUUCAGUUUGAUUAAUGUGGAGAGUACACUGAAUCAUUUGACACGCACUGAAUCAGUUGCAAUGGUUUCUCACACCUUAGAGAUACUUUAUGAGACAGAAAACAGAAAGUCCCUGGAUGAAGUAGUUUUUGUCUACAGUAUGAAACAAUACACAGAUGUGUUCUAUUAAUAUGCAUUAGUGACAAAACUGCUCUUUAUUGCACCAUUCAUUUUGUAAACAAGCAACACACUCUGUUCUCCAGUUAAAGACCAUUUAUAUCCAUAUAUCUAAAACAGUAUCAUGAAAGAGUAUCAAAAUAUGGGUGCACUUUUGAUGG